GGUAUAGCCCGCUCUCCAUCAAAGUAGAAGAGUGUGUGUUGAUUUUCCCUCCCUUGUUCUGAUUGAUAUCAUACAGAAGCUGCUACAGAUGAAUGAAUAUGGUGCAGUUGUUCCAUUCAUUAUAUGGGCAGCAACCUUGUUUAAAUCCUCCUUUGGCUUGGCUGGAACACGAGUUUCAGUAAACAAAAGGAAAACAAAAUGUAGGUGUUCGUCGCAUGUGUCCAUUCAAUAAGGGCUUCGGUGAUGGUCCGCUGCUGGUGGCCGCCUCAAUGUGGUUAAGUUUGGCGUAGUCGCAUGUGUCGCUUGCUGUUGUGGCCGGUCUCCAGGUACAUAGCGUUGUUCCUAUUCAUGCCUGUGUAUGUAGUGUUGCUCCGUUAAAUCAUUUGUUCAUCUUGUUUGUUCCAACCACACUGGAUGCCCAGUACUAUUAGCUUGCACUAGCCUCGACAUGAGCAUCUCAAGCCGUUGUUAAUAGAUGUGAGUAGUACUGAUUGUUUUGCUUGAAUUGGCAUCUCAGAUUAUACUGGAGCAUGUGUUUUCACAGAUAGUUCAUGUUCCAGAUUGCCAAAAGUUCAAACAUAGUGAGAUGGAUGGGAAACUACGAGACAAAGAUGAUAUUUGGACAAAGCAAAAUUAGUAAAAGAAAGAAAACGCUAGAAGUUAAACUAGGGUAGCUUAAAAAGUUCAUGAAAAAUAAAUAUAAAAGUUCAGAGAAGAGGGUUGGAAAAGAUUUGGGAAAAGACACACACAAAAAAAACAUGGAAAAGGUCAGUUAAAAAAAUACUUGCCAUAAGUAGUUAAGAGUUUAUAUGGAGUGGUUAGCAAUUCAGUAACUAGAAAAAGGAUACAUCAGUUCAAAUAUACUUGCCAUAAGUAGUUAAGAGUUUAUUUGAUGUGGUUAAAUAAAUCAAGCUAAUUUUCUGCAGUUCUCGGGUUAGAAAAAGGUUUCACUUAACUUUGUUGAAGUUCAUCUAGAAUCUUGGAAUCCGAUGUGGUGUGUGGCAAGGUACGCACAGAAUGAUAUCUACCUCGAUGAGUGUAAUGUGUUUUCUCACUUCCAGGCCUAGGAAUGUUUUUUCAUUGGACAUACUUCAAAUAUUUUAUAGGUAAGUAAACCAAUCAUGUUUUUGUUGUUCGGAGGGAAAUCAUAAUAAGUUCUAAGGAAAUAAAUAUAGAAGUUCAUAUUUUAAAACAAAUAAAGUAUUUGGAAAGUAAAAUGAAGUAUUUCAAAGUACAGAACUUUUUAGGUUUCAUUGCAAAUUUGUAAUGUUACUGUACACGAACUCAUGCAUGCUAAUUGGUGGUUGUUGUGUGUGUGCAAGGUACAUCCAACGACAACGAGCAGGCGGCAAGUGUACUUAUGCGCAGCGGGACGGUGGCACAGAGUAGUUGAGUAGGUGUGCGUGGUGAGCAGCUACAGAACUGAUUCUGACACGGCAGUAUUAGUCCCACAUAGCCUCUCAACACCCCCUGCUUGAACCUUCACAACCCAGGUCGUUCACUUCCUCGACACGAGGCCGUUCGAUGAUGCAGCGCUCAAGCCGUUCACCCUUACCACCACAAGCCAUUCACCUCCGGUACACGAGGCCGUGCGACGACGCAGCAAUCACACCGUUCACCUCUGCCAUAGGAGGCCAAUGGAAACGCUAAGGAGUUGUGUUCUUUUUCAGUACAUGUUUUGUGUGCUUUUUAGUACACCUACUCAACGAUUCAAUGUCCAAUUUCCUCUUUUUACGUGUUCUUCCUAUAGCACAACAGGUGUUGUGUGUUAUGCCUUAAUAAGCAUUUGAGAAAAUCUUGUAUGGAUCUAAACUAGCAUAUGUUCUGUUCUAUUCUUGUAAAUGAAGCUCCACUUCUGUUUUGUUUGAAGUUACUUGACAUAAAAAUUAGCAUAUGUUCUACUGUAAAGCAUAUAUAAAAUAUCUUGAUGCAUGCUAGCAAAAAUCAGAAAAAUACACUUAGUUCAGUUCCUAUAUUUUAUUUCAGUUCAAUUUAAUGGCAGAAUUCAGAUUGUAAAAAUUCAAGCAAAAAAAGAAACCCCA
rnacentral:lncRNA from 1 species